rnacentral:lncRNA from 1 species
CGCGGAACGUGCUGUACCCUCUGUACCAGCUGGGCAACCCCCAGCUCCGGGUCUUCCGCACCAACUUCUUCAUCCGGCUGGUGCGGCCCGGCACGGCCCAGCCCGAGGAUACUGUGCAGUUCCGGAUCCCGAUGGAGAUGAGCAGAGUGGACCUCAGGAACUACCUCGAGCGCAUCUACGACGUGCCGGUGGCCGCCGUGCGGACGAGGGUGCAGCAUGGUUCCAACAGGAGGAGGGAUCACAGGAACGUCAGGAUAAAGCAGCCAGACUAUAAGGUGGCUUACGUGCAGCUGGCACACGGGCAGACCUUCACGUUCCCAGAUCUGUUUCCCAAGGGAAAGCGGCCCGGAGGCAGCUCUGUGGAUGAGGACCUCCAGGACCAGGUGCUGGAGGAGCAGCGGCGGCGCCAGAGCCCCGACCCGCGGCGCGGGGGCGUCCCCGGCUGGUUCGGCCUGUGACUGGAGCCAACCAUCACGUUCGAAUAAAGUGCUGCUCGUGGCGACGGUC